rnacentral:lncRNA from 1 species
UGUAAUUUAAACAAGUUAGAUUUAUGAGACCAUUCUCUUUCGUAUACAUAUCCUAAACGUUCCUGAUCAUAAGAUUGCCAAUUGGGCAUUGACAGUCUGUUAAGAUCAGUAUGUGCUAUGUCUUCUCUUAGUGAGAGUGACUGGUCUCGAGUCAUUGGUGUGACUGACACCAAGACAAGUACGUAGGUGCUUAAUAAGGAAUAAGUUCACUGAACAUGAUCAACGAAAAGUUCUCAUACUCAUGUCACAUGAGAACUCAUGGUUGAGAUAAUGCAAAGUAGUCCUUUGACCUGAGGCAUCAUAGUUGUCUUGUGGUUAGGUCCUUGAUCUUUGAUUAUGUCAAAGUCACUCCAUUCGCGGGUGUCCACGACAUAGUUGGGGUUAAGCCACUUAGCCAUGGAGGCAAGUGAAUGCGCAACAAGGGAUCUCUAACUUUCAAACCAUUUGAGGGAGAAUACUCUAUGAUAUGAUUAAGAAUCUCUGGCUAGAGUAUGAAUGAGAUUUAGGAAGUCGUUCCAAAUCACAUUCAAAGUAAUCAUAUAAGUAAAUGAAUCACAUUGGAUAAUAGACAUGAAUAAACUAUCAAACCAAACAAUGUGGUCAAGAGUAUUGUAUGUGAGAAAGACCGUAUUGCAUUGUAAUCCUAAAUUGAAUAGGUUCUCCACCUCUUCUGAUUAGCUUGGGUAACCA